CCUUGAGUGAUCACAGUUUUUGAGAAUCAUGACAAGGCAUUAAAGAAGAGGUGGGGUGUCCCGAGGGAGAUGAGCAGGAGGCCGCUGCGCGGAAGAUGCUGACAUAGAUUAUCGCUGAAGGAGUCCUAGAGAUAAUCAACUAUCAACUCAACUGGGUAGAUGCCAUCAGAGGCUCGAAGAGCUCAACUGACUUAUUCAAAGUCACACAGAAAGUUCAAACAAGAUAGCAAUCUCCAAGCCAACUUGAAACUGCCGUGAGAAGAGGGUCGGAGAAGAAAUUUUAGAGGUGAAAAGCCACAAUAAGACCUCUUGGAUGUGCACAAGCAAGCCAAGGCUACUCUGCUCUGCAAAGAUUAGAACAAUAUGGAUCCCCAGUAAGGCAUCUGCUUGCUGGUGGCUCACUGCUGACCUCCUACAAACAGAAGGCGUGAGGCGAGUGUUUAGGUCAGCACCAGUCUGUCUUCCUGAGCUUCCACAAUAGUGCUGGACAGUCGCGGUUCCUUGGUAUUUCUCAAGUAACUGGGUAUAUCCAGGCCUUACCAGGUAUGUCUAUGCACUAUGUGUGUGCUGUGCCCAUGGAAGUCCAAAGAGGCCGCUGGAUCACUUUGAACUGGAGUUACAGUUGACUGCGAGUGGUGGAUGCUGGAACUUGAGCUUGGGUCUUCUGCAAGAGCGGCCAGUGCUCUUAGCAGCUGAACUGGAAUGAAAAAUUGCCCAGCCUAGAAUGAGAAGCUCUUUCUGACCCUGGAAAUCUUUGUUUUCCCUGCUUGCUGGAAGUCUGAGGAACCUCGUAAACUUCAGACAGAACCCAGAGAAACAACAAUAAAAAUGUUCAUGUUGUUAGUAGAUGAAAAAAUACAUUUUUUAUUGAUUGAAGAUCAGUUAUUAAAAACAAACAAAGCAUGUUAUUUUGUAAUUCUGUCUAAUAAUAUCCUAAAACAGAGUUACAAACUGGAAAA